rnacentral:rRNA from 1 species
CGGCGGACGGGUGAGUAACGCGUGGGUAACCUGCCUCAUACAGGGGGAUAACAGUUGGAAACGGCUGCUAAUACCGCAUGAAGCAGGGGCCCCGCAUGGGGAUAUUUGCUAAAGAUUCAUCGCUGAUAGAUAGGCAUGCGUUCCAUUAGGCAGUUGGCGGGGUAACGGCCCACCAAACCGACGAUGGAUAGGGGUUCUGAGAGGAAGGUCCCCCACAUUGGUACUGAGACACGGACCAA